CGGAGGUGCCGGAGUAACGGUGCUUGGAUCGGUCGGAUCGGGAAGAAGACGUACGACUACUUCCUCUACGUUGUGUCAAUGCUUCCGUUGCGAUCUACAAGGAUGUCGGAGACUCGUCACACUCGUUGGGUCAUUCACCACCUGUCCAAGUUCAACGGUGAAGUGUCCGUGCCCAAGGAUGGAAUGCCCCAGGAUGGAGCGCCCAAGGAUGGAGUGUGAGCAAAUAUGUGCUGAUUCACACCAAGCUGACCAUAUUUUACUGUAUUUGGUCAGAAAAAUCAUGCCCCUAUAUAUGUGAUGUAUGAAAUGUAACAUGGACCUUAUGUUAUGUUUCUUUGUUGGACUGUAAUAUGGACAAUAUGGAUUUAUGGCUAUCUAAUAUAUGUGAACUCUAGGAUGUACUGGAUUGUAAUAUGAUCAUAUGGAUUUGUGGCUC